AGCAGCCGCGGUAAUUCCAGCUCCAAUAGCGUAUAUUAAAGUUGUUGCAGUUAAAAAGCUCGUAGUUGAAUUUCGGGAUUAGUACGUUGGUCGUGCCUUCGGUACGUACUGGUGUUACUGAUUCCUACCUUCUGACGAACCAUCAUGUCAUUAAUUUGGUGUGGCGGGGAAUCAGGACUGUUACUUUGAAAAAUUAGAGUGUUUAAAGCAGGCUCGCGCUUGAAUACAUUAGCAUGGAAUAAUGAAAUAGGACGUUGACCCUAUUUUGUUGGUUUCUAGGAUUGACGUAAUGAUUAAUAGGGAUAGUUGGGGGCAUUAGUAUUCAAUUGUCAGAGGUGAAAUUCUUGGAUUUAUUGAAGACUAACUACUGCGAAAGCAUUUGCCAAGGAUGUUUUCAUUAAUCAAGAACGAAAGUUAGGGGAUCGAAGACGAUCAGAUACCGUCGUAGUCUUAACCAUAAACUAUGCCGACUAGGGAUCGGAUGAUGUUAUUUUUAAUG
rnacentral:rRNA from 1 species